rnacentral:lncRNA from 1 species
AGAUAUUUUUGACCUUUAGGUGCCUUUAUGAGAAUUGAGGGUCUGAUAACCUGCCCCAAGGAGUAGCUAAAGUGAUUGCUGAUGUUUUCAGGGAUUUUAACAUCAGCCUUGAAUGAGUGAAUGAACCUUUUUAGUUUAAGUGACCUUGCCUACCUUGCAGCAGUUUGGGAGUUCUUCCUUACUUUGGUCUGCUGUUUGAGGGGGCUUUUUACUUAUUUCCAUGUUAUUCAAAUGAGACUAGGCUUGAUAUUUUAUUACUGUUCUGUGGACAAGAAGUUACAUAAUAUGUCCUUAAGACUUAAAUUCAACCAAAGGCCUAGCACCACCUUGGGGGCUGCAAUAAAUACUUAAAAAAGAGGGAGAAAAGCCUUCAUUUUAUUUUCCCAUCAUCUGUUUUCAUGGUGUAUUAAGGCUUCUUUUGAGUCAUGAUAUUUUUACCUUUUGGGUAUGUUUGUGACACCAUCAUCUUAGUGCUGUGUGCUGGUAAAAAUUUUUUAAACUAAAAUGAGUUGAAAACUUACUGUAAAUGCCUAGUGAUAUUAGAGGUCAUUGCUUUGGGUCUUUGGUUUCUUAACUCCUCUCAAAAUAGGGAAAUUCCCUUAAACUGUAUCAAUUAAAAUGGUUUAUAUGACUCAAGAAAACAAUACCAGUGGAUGAUUAUUCACUUUAUUUUUGGCUCUUGUUAGGUCCAUUUUGAUCAGAAAACUUGGCUGGAGCAUUCCUUUCAGAGUUCUCUUCCAGCCCAUCCUUGGAUUAGUAUAAUUAAUGGACUUGGCUUUUUCAAGGAUCAAGCCUUCUUUGGGGGUGGGUCAAGGGUAGGGGGGUUGGGGAGUCCUGGUAGAGGCCAGCUCAGUGGUAGCUGGAAAGGAAGGGAUGAAACCAGCUGCUGUUGCUAUGGCUGCUUGUCAUUGAUAGAAGGACUCAGGGCUUGGAUCGGUUAAAAGGCUAAACACGGAUUCAACAAACUUCUUCCAAGUAUUGGGUUCUGGCCACUGCCUUGGACGUGUGAUUUAAGGGAAAAGUGUGAAAGCUUGUAGAUGAUGAAAACCUGGUGGGCUGCAGAACCAUUUGGAAGAGGCGACUAGGGGUUGGGGACAGAUUUGGCGGUAGUAUCUGCCAAUUCUGUCUCCUCUCCUGAAGUCAGAGGAGCCAUGCCGUAACUCAAGAGACGAGCCACACUUAGCUUCUGCUUUGGGGAAAACUGAUCAGCUAAGGGCUCUGGUAGGUCCUUUGUGGCUUUCUGUAUGCUUUUGCCUGGUUGAAGUCUGUGGCUAAAAAACAGUUGAACCUUUCCUGAGAACUCUGUAACAAAGUAUGUUUUUGAUUAAAAGAGAAAGCCAAUUAAA